AUGCAUCUAUUUGACAGAUCUGGAGCAAUUACUGUCUGCUGCUAAGGUUCCAGUGCAAAUGCAAAGAAAAAGGGUCCUCCUGCUUUCUGUCUGUCUGAUAGUGGCAGCCAAGACUGAAUGGGAGAGUACAGUG
rnacentral:snoRNA from 1 species